GACGAAGGAUGCAAGCGUUAUCCGGAUUUAUUGGGUUUAAAGGGAGCGUAGGCGGUCUUAUAAGUCAGUGGUGAAAGCUCCUCGCUUAACGAGGAAAUUGCCAUUGAUACUGUAGGACUUGAGAACAGUUGCCGUUGGCGGAAUAUGACAUGUAGUGGUGAAAUACAUAGAGAUGUCAUAGAACACCGAUUGCGAAGGCAGCUAACGGUACUGUAACUGACGCUGAGGCUCGAAAGUGCGGGGAUCAAACAGG
rnacentral:rRNA from 1 species